GACGAACGCUGGCGGCGUGCUUAACACAUGCAAGUCGAGCGGUAAGGCCCUUUCGGGGGUACGACGAGCGGCGAACGGGUGAGUAACACGUGGGUGACCUGCCCUCCAGCUCUGGGAUAAGCCUGGGAAACCGGGUCUAAUACUGGAUAUGACUCCAUGACGCAUGUUGUGGGGUGGAAAGCCUUGUGCGGCUGAGGAUGGGCCCGCGGCCUAUCAGCUUGUUGGUAGGGGUGAGGCCUACCAAGGCGACGACGGGUAGCCGGCCUGAGAGGGCGACCGGCCACACUGGGACUGAGACACGGCCCAGACUCCUACGGGAGGCAGCAGUGGGGAAGUCUUGCGCAAUGGGCGAAAGCCUGACGCAGCGACGCCGCGUGAGGGAUGACGGCCU
rnacentral:rRNA from 1 species